UACGGGGGGGGCAAGCGUUGUUCGGAAUUAUUGGGCGUAAAGGGCGCGUAGGUGGCCAACUAAGUCAGACGUGAAAUCCCUCGGCUUAACCGAGGAACUGCGUCUGAUACUGGAUGGCUGGAGUGUGGGAGAGGGAUGCGGAAUUCCAGGUGUAGCGGUGAAAUGCGUAGAUAUCUGGAGGAACACCGGUGGCGAAGGCGGCAUCCUGGACCAUUACUGACACUGAAACGCGAAAGCCAGGGGAGCAAACGGG
rnacentral:rRNA from 1 species